GAUUUGCUAACCGCGUGUAUACGUGAGCACGCAUCCAUUACCGUUGGAUUCGCUUUGAGAUUCUGACCUCACAAACGGACACCAAACGUCGUUAAGCUGCCUUUUCAAGUUGAUGCCGUCCUCUUUUUUUCCUCCCCAGCGCUCCUCAGUGGCUUCUGCACGCACUGGAAGACCUCCGGCUAGCCCCUCGCGCCAGCACCUCCGGCUAGCCCCCAGCGCCAUCACCUUCGACCAUGCCAAAUUGGAGGCUAAAUUGGAAGCAGGGGAGGCCGAAUUGGAGUGGACAGGAGCGGCUCGCCCGGGUCAGGAGCACGACUGCACGAGCCACAGGCGAGCCCCUGUCCCCCAACGCCGAGGAGCCCCGAUUACUUCGCCGCGUCGCGCCGGACCUAUGCCCCCGCGCCGCGCCCAAUCUUCGCCGGAUCCCAGGACGGCGACGCGUCCGGGUCCGCUCGAUCCCAGCCACGCCAUGGACACAGGUGGAUUCCUCUGGGAGGGCCGGCUCCGGCGGCGGUGCACCGCCACUCCUCUUACUUUCUAUGAAUACGGCCUGUGUCGCCGUGCCGCUCUCCCGUGGGCACUAGAGUCGCCGCUUGGAGGAGGGCCGGGCCGCCCUAGGUCCCCAGAUGUGGUCGCCGGCGAGCGUCCAAGCAAAGCGGCGCACCUCAUCUGAUCCUCGCCAGUCUCCGACGCCUGCGACGCCACAAGUCCGUGAUGGCACAGCCCACGGCUGGGUGUUCGUCAUCGACAAGACGCUGCUCUCCAACCUCGCCCCCACUACUGCAGGACGGAUACAGUGAAACUGUAGGAGGCUGGGUGGAGAGCAUGCACUGGAGGAGAAGCGUCGAUGGCAUCGGCCGGCUUCUUCCCAAGCACGAUGAGCCCGGCCGGUCAACGGGGGGCGCGGGGCGCCGCCGCCGUUCGCGAUGCAGGUGCGGGUACUAGGGAGGUCGACCUCCGCCCCUCCUCCGUGAAUGGGGAGGCCGGGCACUCGGGCGGUCCCGCUUCCACCAGGUACUAUGUAGGGCCAGCUGGUAGUAUUAUCAACUACUACAAUGAUGAGCUUGUGAUUUGACAUGCUUUUUGAUCAAGUUUUAGUCGAGCUAAGAGUCAACAUUAUAGUUUGUCGUUAAUUGUGGAUCAGUGGGUCAUUAAAGUUCUACUUUUUAGAUACAUGAGAAUUCGGUUGGAGGGUGGACUGGUGGCAAUGCUCAAUGACACCCUGAUUGACAGUUCCAUGUAUGCAUUGCAGGAUUUGAGUACUGAGUUGUUACUCAUACCAGAUUCUGAAACUUUGUGUGCUUCAAGUGUCAGAAAAUGCACAUUUAACUAACAAUUUAAUUUACAGUUUUUUUCUAGAAAGUUA